GGCCAUUGCCCAAUGUGAAGCCCGGCUGCGUGACCAGGGCAGACGGGUUGUGGUCAUCACCCAGAACAUUGAUGAGUUACAUCGAAAGGCUGGCACCAAGAACCUGCUGGAAAUCCACGGAACCUUAUUUAAAACUCGGUGUACCUCGUGUGGCAAUGUUGCUGAGAACUACAAGAGUCCGAUUUGUCCAGCCUUAUUGGGAAAAGGGGCCCCAGAACCAGAUACUCAAGAGUCCAGAAUCCCAGUCCACAAACUUCCCCGGUAGGUAAAAAACUGUUGUCUAUCUGGUGUUCAGGAUUGGAGGAAAGAA
rnacentral:lncRNA from 1 species